GAUGAAGAACGUAGCGAAAUGCGAUAAGUAAUGUGAAUUGCAGAAUUCAGUGAAUCAUCGAAUCUUUGAACGCACAUUGCGCCCCUUGGUAUUCCGAGGGGCAUGCCUGUUCGAGCGUCAUUAUAACCCCUCAAGCUCAGCUUGGUGUUGGGGCCUGCUGCACUGGCAGCCCUUAAAAUCAGUGGCGGCGCCAUCUGGCUCUAAGCGUAGUAAUUCUUCUCGCUAUGGAGUCCUGGUGGAUGCUUGCCAUCAACCCCCUAUUUUUCUAUGGUUGACCUCGGAUCAGGUAGGGAUACCCGCUGAACUUAAGCAUAUCAAUAAGCGGAGGA
rnacentral:misc_RNA from 1 species